UGUGCGACUGCCGAUCAGCUGUAACCAGAUUGUAGCAAAAAUCAACCUGUUCAGAGAUGUUGUUACACACCUCUGGAUUAGAUGGGGCUUGAACCCAGACCUCCUUGGCUCAGAGGUAGGGAUAUUGCCACAAGCCUAUCCCCCUUGAAUCGCAGUUUUGGACACUAAGUGAGGAUUGCAAAUAAAGGACAAAGACUAAAAGGAGUCUCUGCACCUGGUCAGCCUCUCCACACAUCCUUCCUCCCCGUCUCCAAAAACGAUACUGGAAAUGCAGUGGAAUAUUCUAUCUAACUGUUCUAUCAGCUUCCCACUAAGCAACAACACAGCUGAUGUAGACUGCGAGGGCAUCCUCUGUGACAAAGUGAUUCAGGGCAUAAAAGAAACGCAAGCAAUACUGGAGAUUGGC